GGAGAGCUUAAUUCUCUGACAGCUGGAUAUCAGGUAGAGAUGAAGAUAUUCACGAUUAUCAUCACACUGAGGACAGCUGAAUUCAUCUGUUCACCAUUUAUAGAUCUUCAACUUCACAGCAUCAGCAAAGAAGGGAUGAAGGUGUGUUUCCUGGUUUAUCGUCACACUGAGGACAGCUGAACUCAUCUGAACCUCGCAGCCUCAUCACA